rnacentral:rRNA from 1 species
UACGAAGGGGGCUAGCGUUGUUCGGAAUUACUGGGCGUAAAGCGCACGUAGGCGGAUAUUUAAGUCAGGGGUGAAAUCCCAGAGCUCAACUCUGGAACUGCCUUUGAUACUGGGUAUCUCGAGUAUGGAAGAGGUGAGUGGAAUUCCGAGUGUAGAGGUGAAAUUCGUAGAUAUUGGGAAGAACACCGGUGGCGAAGGCGGCUCACUGGCUCAUUACUGACGCUCAGGCGCGAUAGCGUGGGGAUCAAACAGG